rnacentral:rRNA from 1 species
UAAAUACUCCUGACUGACCGAUAGUGAACCAGUACCGUGAGGGAAAGGCGAAAAGAACCCCGGCGAGGGGAGUGAAAAAGAACCUGAAACCGUGUACGUACAAGCAGUGGGAGCACGCUUAGGCGUGUGACUGCGUACCUUUUGUAUAAUGGGUCAGCGACUUAUAUUCUGUAGCAAGGUUAACCGAAUAGGGGAGCCGAAGGGAAACCGAGUCUUAACUGGGCGUUAAGUUGCAGGGUAUAGACCCGAAACCCGGUGAUCUAGCCAUGGGCAGGUUGAAGGUUGGGUAACACUAACUGGAGGACCGAACCGACUAAUGUUGAAAAAUUAGCGGAUGACUUGUGGCUGGGGGUGAAAGGCCAAUCAAACCGGGAGAUAGCUGGUUCUCCCCGAAAGCUAUUUAGGUAGCGCCUCGUGAAUUCAUCUCCGGGGGUAGAGCACUGUUUCGGCAAGGGGGUCAUCCCGACUUACCAACCCGAUGCAAACUGCGAAUACCGGAGAAUGUUAUCACGGGAGACACACGGCGGGUGCUAACGUCCGUCGUGAAGAGGGAAACAACCCAGACCGCCAGCUAAGGUCCCAAAGUCAUGGUUAAGUGGGAAACGAUGUGGGAAGGCCCAGACAGCCAGGAUGUUGGCUUAGAAGCAGCCAUCAUUUAAAGAAAGCGUAAUAGCUCACUGGUCGAGUCGGCCUGCGCGGAAGAUGUAACGGGGCUAAACCAUGCACCGAAGCUGCGGCAGCGACGCUUAUGCGUUGUUGGGUAGGGGAGCGUUCUGUAAGCCUGUGAAGGUGUGCUGUGAGGCAUGCUGGAGGUAUCAGAAGUGCGAAUGCUGACAUAAGUAACGAUAAAGCGGGUGAAAAGCCCGCUCGCCGGAAGACCAAGGGUUCCUGUCCAACGUUAAUCGGGGCAGGGUGAGUCGACCCCUAAGGCGAGGCCGAAAGGCGUAGUCGAUGGGAAACAGGUUAAUAUUCCUGUACUUGGUGUUACUGCGAAGGGGGGACGGAGAAGGCUAUGUUGGCCGGGCGACGGUUGUCCCGGUUUAAGCGUGUAGGCUGGUUUUCCAGGCAAAUCCGGAAAAUCAAGGCUGAGGCGUGAUGACGAGGCACUACGGUGCUGAAGCAACAAAUGCCCUGCUUCCAGGAAAAGCCUCUAAGCAUCAGGUAACAUCAAAUCGUACCCCAAACCGACACAGGUGGUCAGGUAGAGAAUACCAAGGCGCUUGAGAGAACUCGGGUGAAGGAACUAGGCAAAAUGGUGCCGUAACUUCGGGAGAA